GACGAACGCUGGCGGCGUGCUUAACACAUGCAAGUCGAACGGAAAGGCCCUGAUUUUGUGGGGUGCUCGAGUGGCGAACGGGUGAGUAACACGUGAGUAACCUGUCCUUGACUUUGGGAUAAAUUCAGGAAACUGGGGCUAAUACCGGAUAGGAGCUCCUGCUGCACGGGGGGGGAAGGAAAGUUUCGGCGGUUGGGGAUGGACUCGCGGCUUAUCAGCUUGUUGGUGGGGUAGUGGCUUACCAAGGCUUUGACGGGUAGCCGGCCUGAGAGGUUGACCGGCCACCUGGGGCCUGCGGUACGGCCCAGACUCCUACGUGAGGCAGCGGUGGGGAAUAUUGCACAAUGGGCGGAAGCCUGAUGCAGCAACGCCGCGUGCGGGAUGACGGCCUUCGGGUUGUAAACCGCUUUCGCCUGUGACGAAGCGUGAGUGACGGUAAUGGGUAAAGAAGCACCGGCUAACUACGUG
rnacentral:rRNA from 1 species